rnacentral:sRNA from 1 species
AUUCAAUAACCUGCAAACAAAAUGCUUCACAAGGGAGAAAUUGCAAUAUAGCCUGCUGACUACAGUGCCAAAAUUGAUAUUCUGUUUACCUCCGAAAGGAAAGAAGCUUUGUCUCUCUUCUGAUCAGUGUGUGGCAGGAGUUCACGAAGUAUUUCAAGCCUGAAGGAGAGCAUGAAGAAUUGCAUUUUAGAACACAUUUCUUGCACCAUAUACUUAUAUGAAAUUGUCUUGGAAUUAAAUGCUGCUAAUAUGAUAUCUUGUUGAGCUAUCUAGCUACGUCUUCAUGGUUGGUUUGUUCCUGCUCUGCAGAAAAUAAUUCAAAAUGGUGUUUGACCUCUACUAGCUUGCCUGUCAUUUAUCUUGGUCCUCCUUCUCUGCUCAGUUGCUGAAUGCUUUGAUCUCGGAGUGCUGGGUCCCUGAUCGGCGCUGCUGGCGCUACUUCUUCCCUCUGCUCUUGUUGCUGAGUGCACAUGUAUAUAUCAAAUCCAUCAGUGCCUGAAUUGAAGUGACAGACUAGAGAAUCAACAAUACAACUGCGGUACUAACCUUCAUAUGGUGUCUGGCCUAUGGAUCUUUGAUCAAUGGCAGAAUCUUGCCACAUCGUCGACGGCGCACGGUGAGCCCUACUCCCAGAUCUUCCUCCUGUUUCAUGUGCAUUCUCCAUCCUGGCGCCAUGAAGCGCAGGUGCAAAUGCGAACGCACUCCUCCUGACGCCGCCAUGGCUACCGGCCUCUUCUCUCGACGGAGUACCGGACGCGUGCCUGAUGCUGAACGUCCCGACGCCGCCCGGUAGCACGUGCUCCUCCGAGUCCGAACCUGCCGGCGACGCGCCGUCGACGGCACUCCCCGCCGCCGUGCCAUUGCCGCUGCUGCGGCCGCGCUGCUUGGCCAGGUCCAGUGGCCUCAGUGAUCUGCGGAUCUCCAUACCGUAUCCUGCACUUGACAUGGGUAACAUGGGUUAGCAAGUUGGUGCAUUGCUGUCUAACUUGCACACCAUGGCACUUGCAGUUGAGAAGGCAAAGGAGAGGGCGGUGCAGACAGCUCACCUCGCGAUGAAUGGCUGGAAUGCUGCUCCUCCCGGUGCUGGAACGGCGGCGACGACGAGCCGCCGCCGGCGCGGAGCGAGAGGAAGUCAUGAGCCGGCUCCUCUCCUGCGAAUCACCGACAAGCACAACACAACACACGGCAAUGUACCAUGAGCUGAUGAGCAUCAUGCGGUGAAGAGAGAAGACGCUGUGGAAUUGGAGGAAGGAAGGAAAGGACACUAGGGUGAAGUGUAAUUCUCUUUGAUACCUUGGAAAAGCUGCAUUGGCGCCCGGGACACAGGACACUGGAGAUCUGUCGACGCUGCUGCCAAGCCGAGCGGCCUGCCGUUGCAGCAGAAAGAUGGCGCCUGGAUCUUGCCGCUGGGCAGUACACUGAUGGAAUGUAGCGAAUUCGGUUGUCCACUCGGACCUUAUUAUAGUCGGCUAAGAGAGAGUCGAGAAGGAUAGGAGACUGAUAAUGAUAUAACAAAUAAGCUAGGGAGGUAAGCCCUGCUGCCUGCCGCCUCCCUGCCUGUCUGGCUGGUAGUAUUAUACUUUGUACCUUUGAUAUAACAAACGUUUCAUGGUUA